rnacentral:rRNA from 1 species
CCUACGGGUGGCAGCAGUGGGGAAUAUUGGGCAAUGGGCGCAAGCCUGACCCAGCAACGCCGCGUGAAGGAAGAAGGCUUUCGGGUUGUAAACUUCUUUUCUCAGGGACGAAGCAAGUGACGGUACCUGAGGAAUAAGCCACGGCUAACUACGUGCUAGCAGCCGCGGUAAUACGUAGGUGGCAAGCGUUAUCCGGAUUUACUGGGUGUAAAGGGCGUGUAGGCGGGGACGAAAGUCAGAUGUGAAAACCACGGGCUCAACCUGUAGACUGCAUUUGAAACUGUGUUUCUUGAGUACUGGUGAGGCAGGCGGAAUUCCUAGUGUAGCGGUGAAAUGCGUAGAUAUUAGGAAGAACACCAGUGGCGAAGGCGGUCUGCUAGACAGCAACUGACGCUGAGGCGCGAAAGCGUGGGGAGCAAACAGGAUUAGAUACCCUGGUAGUC